rnacentral:lncRNA from 10 species
GCGGAGCUCCCAUUUAGGGGUCACAGGAUCAAGAGAAACGUGCCACAAGCUGGAGGCUGUGCAAAACUGGCAGCAAACAUCUCUGGGGAGAGCCCUGCACACAGCCACCCCAACCUCUGGCACCACCACUCUGAUCAGACAGCAGCCAUCAACAUCUAGUCGAGACCCUCCACUAGCAAAGAGAUUAUGACUCACUGAAGGCUCAGAUGAUCAUGAAUAAUUUUCAGAAAUAAAGUACUUUUAAAUUCAGAUGGAGUCUUGCUCUGUUGCCCAGGCUGGAGCACAAUCUCAGUUCACUGAAACCUCCGCCUCCUGGAUUCAAGCAAUUCUCCUGCCUCAGCCUCCUGAGUAGCUGGGAUUGCAGCUACAAUGCCACCAGGUGAUCGGAAUUUUUCAGCUCCAUUAAAAUCUUAUGAGACCAUCACUGAAUAUGUGGUCCGUCAUUGACCAAAACAUCAUGAUGCAGCUCAUGACUAUAGUUCUGUCUCAGAAGAUCCAGGAAAUAGUAGGUUCCUCCGAGGCCGGAAGCCCAUUCAGUAUCUUAGCCAAUGGCAUGUCUUAUAGAUAGAUACAAAUAGUGCAGCCUUUUGCCGAAGAAAUGAUAUCUUGUUUCCUUUGCCAGGAGCUGUGUGCUUGCAACAGUAAUAUAAAUGUGCAGCCCACAUUAGGUACUCAAACAACUUGUCAUUUGUUUGAAAAGGAGCCCUUUAUUUGACUAGAAGAAACAGGAGCCAAAUGAGCUUGAUUCCUUCUCAUGCCAGCCAGCAAUGCAAUUACAGGAAUGGGGACUGGGGAAGGACAAAUUGAUCAGUCACCCAUGCACAUAGGUGCAGGGGCUAUGUACUUGAAGUGGUUGGUUGUGGUUGGGACCCUGCCUUGGUCUGUUAAUUACAUAUUGCAAAAUGGGAUCUCAUAAGUGACUGUAAUUCAUUGGUAAUUUCUUGAGAAAUUACAAUUUUUGACAGGAAAGUUUUUUUUCUUUGUGUCCCCUGAUAAAUUCUCCUGGUUUGUAAA